GAAGCUGGUAGCAACAGGAUCUGAACAAAUGAAAAAUGCAAGAACGGAAGCCAGCAGCAGCUGAACGUCACCUCUGAUACCUGUGAGAUGGUCUGCCUCUGAAGGUGACAGUGUCCAGAUGCCUUUGGUCGAAACCCCCAUGAGUGCUUCUUUCUGUUCCCAUGGUUUGCUUGAAGCAAAAUGAGUCUCAGAAAUUUCCAACCAGCAGAGAAAAAAGGGAACGGCACAGAAGAAUACAGAUGGAAACAAAACACAGUAUCUUCAUCAUCUUUAAUCCUGAGGCUGAAAAUCGAGAACUGGUUGUGGAUUUUGCAUGUGGGGCUCAAGUACAGUCCAGCUUGAGACAUAUACUUACCUGUUCAGCACAAGAUUACUUUGAAUAAGAAGCUUAAAUGAUAAAGGAAGCUGAAGAGAGAGGUUACAAUACUUGCCCAAGGUCACAAAGCAAGCAUAUGGUGAUGUUUGUUAACUCAGGUGACUGACUCUGCCACAGGAUGUGAGUUAUCUUGGCUGACACUGAAGAAUGAAAGAAUGCAGAUGUAGUUUGGUUCUUUCACCAUUUAGGUUGUUACAGAAUAUUGAGCAGUUUCCAGUGCUAUUGGAGA